AACUUUGUCCAAAAGUUAUCCACCGCAAUAGACAGUACGCCACUGUGGCCGUGCGUUCAUAGGGCUCGUUUUGAGUUGAGUUCGUACAUUAUUCCACCACAGUGUUCGUGAUAAGCGGUCAAUAUAAGGAGAGAUUGAACGUUGCCCUAUAAGAACUCGAGUGGAUAUUCAUUUACAUGAGACUCGAGUGUCAGAGGGCCCCGACAUAU
rnacentral:snoRNA from 1 species